rnacentral:rRNA from 1 species
CCUACGGGUGGCUGUAGUGGGGAAUAUUGGACAAUGGGGGCAACCCUGAUCCAGCCAUGCCGCGUGUGUGAAGAAGGCCCUCGGGUUGUAAAGCACUUUCAGUGAGGAAGAACGCCUGGUGGUUAAUACCCAUCAGGAAAGACAUCACUCACAGAAGAAGCACCGGCUAACUCCGUGCCAGCAGCCGCGGUAAUACGGAGGGUGCGAGCGUUAUUCGGAAUUACUGGGCGUAAAGCGCGCGUAGGUGGCUUGAUAAGCCGGUUGUGAAAGCCCCGGGCUCAACCUGGGAACGGCAUCCGGAACUGUCAAGCUAGAGUGCAGGAGAGGAAGGUAGAAUUCCCGGUGUAGCGGUGAAAUGCGUAGAGAUCGGGAGGAAUACCAGUGGCGAAGGCGGCCUUCUGGACUGACACUGACACUGAGGUGCGAAAGCGUGGGUAGCAAACAGGAUUAGAUACCCGGGUAGUC